UGAAAUAGUUUUUAUAACCCCUCCCCCACCCUGGUUUUUCAUAACCACUUGGAUUUCCAGCUGGAUAGUCUUUGAGGAUAUAGGUGAAUGCUGCGAGGUGGUCCAGGCGACUCUAUGGAACAUUCUCCAAUGGGCUAGUAGAAUGAGAAGAUCCAAAAGUAGUUUGGAAAACAAGGAGAAACAUCACCUCUCAUGACGGUAAACUUACCGAGAAGGUAAUUCAUGUUAGACUGUUGUUGCACAGCCCGCUCUUAAAGCUCAUGUAUGUAACAUGUAGCAGAAAACUAGUAGGGAAUGCUGUUUGAAUUUUCAUACUAAGUCCUCUGACUUUCUACCCCUUUCCUUGUGUGAGGGAGAAUUUGGAGGCUAUAUUUUAUGGAACUUUUCUUGCUUUCCCUUGAAAUUGUGCAAGAGCAUAAAUAAAAAAUUUACAGUGACUUAACA
rnacentral:lncRNA from 1 species